AUGAAAGACCAUUGAGGAAAUCACCAAGGAAGACACCAAUUGUUAUCCAGCAUCAAAGACAGAGAGAACGGUCACCUGAUAUAGAUGAGAGACCUACAGUAACACCUGGUGUUCAGGAAUACUUCAACUUGAUGUUAACAAAAAUGGAAGAGAUGCAGAAAGACAUCAAAGUACUGAAAGCUGCAUUGCUAGAUGAAGAUGAAAAAAUUACGGACAUAAUGCCAAGGCCGCUUAGCAGCAUAGAAGCACUUCAACAAUUUGAAGAACAAAUUGAUGAUGCCCUCCGGAAGAGACUAGUAAGGACAUUUGUUUUAACAUUACCUCAGUCAUUAUUGUUGAAAAAAUGAUUAAAUCUCAAAACAUAAAUUGUGUUCAUGUGCAUUCCAGUUCUUUGACUAGUAUUCAAUACACUAACAUCAUAUUAUAAAGACAUUCAAGCAUUCAUUUGUAUUUUU